rnacentral:misc_RNA from 1 species
AAUAAUGGGAAGGCCACUGUACUGUCUGAAGCUACUAGAUUGUUGAAGGACGUGCUUGGACUGAUUGAGCGCCUCAAGAAGGAGAACGUAUCUCUAUUAUCUGAAUCUCACUAUGUAACAAUUGAGAAGAAUGAGCUGAAGGAAGAAAACUCUGCCCUAGAAUUUAGAAACUCAGAUUGAGGGAUUGCAAAAUGAGCUGGAAACAAGGGUGGCCCAAUCAAAACCUGACCUGAAUGUGCCUCCUCCCGAGUUUCACCAUCCUGGAUUGACACCACAUUUUCCAGGAGAGUCUCUGGGGUUGCCUGCAUCAGAUGCUACAUUACAGCAAGCACCCCAUCUCUUUGUCGUCCCCUUCCAUCCUGAUCUGCAAGCUUAUCCAUUGACUACUACAAAUGUGAGUAAACCACAUGCUAGGUAUCCAACACCUGCAGAUUCUUGGCCCUCCCAACUUCUUGAGGAGCAGCUAACAGCUGGGAAGGAAGUUAAGUAGCAACCUUAAUUUUUUUCAUCUAUCGGCAAGACUCUUUUGUAGAGUUGGUAUAUUGCGUAGCGGAUGUGAAUGACGGUAAAAUAUGGAUGGUUGAUCGUGAAUUUCUGCCUUAGAUUGGGGAUGGCGGGUUGGUGACCAAAUGUGAAAGUUUAGUUGGUGACCAAAUGACGAAACCUCGUCAGAA